GUUUGGGCAGCCUAUUAAAGUUAACUGGGCAUAUGCCAGUGGACAGAGGGAGGAUACUUCAAGUCACUUCAAUGUAUUUGUUGGUGAUCUGAGCCCAGAAGUUACUGAUGCCAUGUUGUUUGCUUGCUUCUCUGUUUACCCUAGUUGCUCUGAUGCUAGGGUAAUGUGGGAUCAGCAGACUGGGCGUUCUAGGGGUUUUGGAUUUGUUUCUUUCCGGAACCAACAGGAUGCCCAAAGUGCAAUUAAUGAUUUAACUGGGAAAUGGCUUGGUAGUAGACAGAUACGUUGUAACUGGGCUACAAAAGGAGCUAAUUCUAAUGAUGAGCAAGGCUCAGAAAUCAGAAGUGUCGUGGAAUUAACUAAUGGAUCAUCAGAAGAUGGUAAAGAUCCAGCAAGUAGUGAUGCUCCUGAAAACAACCCGCAAUAUACAACUGUUUAUGUGGGUAAUCUUGCUCCUGAGGCGACACAACUCGAUCUCCAUCGCCACUUUUAUGUCAUUGGUGCAGGAGUGAUAGAGGAAGUUCGGGUUCAACGUGAUAAAGGAUUUGGUUUUGUA
rnacentral:misc_RNA from 1 species